CAAAGGAAUUGACGGGGCCCGCACAAGCGGUGGAGCAUGUGGUUAAUUCGAUGCAACGCGAGAACCUUACCUGGGCUUGACAUCCCGAGAAUCCCCUGGAAACAGGGGAGUGCCCUUCGGGAGCUCGGAGACAGGUGCUGCAUGGCUGUCGUCAGCUCGUGUCGUGAGAUGUUGGGUUAAGUCCCGCAACGAGCGUAACCCUUGUCUUUAAUUGCCAUCAUUGAGUUGGGCACUUUAAAGAGACUGCCGGUGUUUAAACCGGAGGAAGGUGGGAUGACGUCAAGUCCUCAUGGCCUUUAUGCCCAGGGCUACACACACGCUACAAUGGGAAGGGACAAUAGGUUGCGAAGCCGCGAGGCGGAGCCAAUCCAGCAAAACUUCCCUCAGUUCAGAUUGCAGGCUGCAACUCGCCUGCAUGAAGUUGGAGUUGCUAGUAAACGCAGGUCAGCCAUACUGCGUUGAAUACGUUCCCGGGGCUU
rnacentral:rRNA from 1 species